GCCCGCCUAGCUCAAUCGGAUAGAGCGUCAGACUCUUACUGAGUUGCGGGUUAAUCACAACAGUGAUCUGAAGGCUGCGAGUUCGACCCUCGCGGUGGGCU
rnacentral:tRNA from 1 species